GCGCAGCAUGGGAUGAAAAAUUGCUUAGUAGGUAUUAUGCUCACUACAUGGGUGAUGGGUUUAAUUGUACCCGAAACCUCAGCAUCACACAAUAUACCCUUAUAACAAAUCUGCAUAUGUACUCCCUGAAUAUAAAAUAAAAGUUGAAAAAAAUAAUAACAGACACUGUUGGCGCUCAGAGAAGUCUCCCCAGUUAUUUCGGAGAGGAAGGAGAGGGGGAAAAAAAAGACAGUGUAGAGUAAUUUACUACAGGUGACUCAUCAAUUCACAAACUGAAGCUUAAGACACUGAGCCAGGCCAGCUGAGAUAAGAAUAUGGUUGAGGUCAGAUACUGAGAGAAGUGAGUGCUAUGGGGGGGGAGCAGGUGGAGGAAUUUUCUCUAUAUGUGAUGUGAUGAUGAUGACAUCUAUAUGGAAGCAGAAUAGUUCCCUUUCAAGGUUGUUCAUGAACCAAAAUAUUUUGAGAAUCUUGGUCCUUUCCCCAGAACCUAACUUUUCCUCUACUAUAUGAAAAUUUCCAAAAGACUGAAAACCUGCCUUCCCAAAAUGUUCAAAUGAAGAAAAUGAGCCAAGAGCAAAAUCUCUGCAUUACCAAAAACUUUAAAUUUUAUGAAAAAAGUUAUCUAUGGAAGGCAGUGUAUGUAUAGACAAAAGAAUUCUUAAGAGGCAUUUGAUGAGUAUAAAUGACUAAACAAUUAGAGCAUAGCUAAAAAGAGUCUGUAACUCACAGCAGAAAACACUAGUCUCCUUUGCAGAGGUCUGACUUUAUUCCAGUGUUCCUUAUGAAGGGGUGAAUGGGAAAGAUAAGGUUGAAAGGUUAAUUCUCUGUAAUUUGUAAAUUUCAUCUAUUUGAUAGAAAGAGAGAGAAAAAAAAGCCACUCCUUUGCCCUCUGAAGGGAAAGCCAUCCCAGCAUUUAAGAGUAUCACAUAACACUCCAAAGCAGCAACCCAUUUACAGAGGAAAUGUGAGUGAAAACAACAUAGACCAGAACUGGGCUUCCAAAUGUUAUAAACAGUGAAAGGAAUAAAAAUUAAAUUAUGAUAGGAAAAAACUCUGAUGCUUUGUUUGUGAAAAAUAAAAACAAACACUCUUUAUGAAAUCUGAACAUCUUAUGAAGGCUACUUUUUUUUAGCCUCAGGCAUUAAUUAUGGUUGCGCCACCGAUGGAGUCCAAAGGAAGCCAAUUCAACCCGCUUCAUCCUCAGGGAUGGAGAGCAACCACAAGUUUACAAAAUAAUUAAUUAUCUCCAUGUUAUCGUACAACAGGGUAAACAGUGAACUGAAACCCUGUACCACAAUAAAUAAGCUGGUCAAGCCUGAAAUGGGGGUCUAUUUCUUCACUCACCAUCUCUGUCUUACAUUCUUCCAAAGGGCUGAGCUUCAAGAUCGUUGAGUACUAAACUUCCAGAAACUAUUUUUAUUUUUUUCUACCACUUUUUUUUUUUUUUUAAGGAGAGAGAUUGGAGGCUGGUUCUUAAUCAUUCCCUGUGAUUAUUGUAGGUUUCUGUAGAAUUUCAUGAAACUAUGAUGUUUUUAGCAAGACUUUGUCAUUGAUCUGUAGCUGUGCCAGUUUUCACAAUCUAUUCAUCAUUACUGAUAAUAAGUAAUAUCAAGAAGUACCACUCUUAUCUGGAAGGUCAUUGAUGUGAGCUGCUCGGUCUCUGGAGGGUAAGAUGAGGGAUGAGAACACCAGCCCCAUCAGCCCUGGAGACACAUCCAUAUUACUUUGUGAGCGCUGCUGUGACAGAGUACCGCGAAUUGGGUGGUUUAAACAACAGAAAUUUAUUGUCUUUCAGUUCUGUGAGCUGAAGUCCAAGAUCAAGAUGUCAGCAGGAUUGGUUCCUCCUGAGAGCUGUGAGGGAAGGAUCUGUUUCAAGCCCCUCUCCUUGGCUGGUAGAUGGCCAUCUUUUCCCAAUGUUUCUUCACACUGUCUUCCUUCUAUAUGUGUUUCUUUCUCUACACAUCAUGUUCUUUUUCUAAGGACACCAGUCAUAUUGGAUUAGGAGCCAACCCUAUUUUAAUAAGACCUCAUCUUGACUAAUAACAUCCACAAAGGCCCUGUUUCCACAUAAGGUUAUAUUCUGAAGUACUGGGUGGUCUACAGCCAUACCACCCCACACACACCCAAUCUCAUCUGAAGUACUGGGUGUUAGGACAUCAAUAUAUGAAUUUGGGAGGUCGGGGGAGGGGGACACAAUUCAGCCCACAACAACAUCCACGGGAUACUUGCCCCGGCAGGUGGCCAGCUCUUACUUUCUCAAGCUAUCCGUUUGGAGCAGGUCCUUUUUUUUUUUUUUUUUUUGAGACAGUCUCGCUCUGUCACCCAGGCUGGAAUGCGGUGGCACGAUCUUGGCUCACCACAAACUCCGCCUCCCGGGUUAAUGCCAUUCUCCUGCCUCAGCCUCCAGGGUAGCUGGGACUACAGGUGCCUGCCAUCAUGCCCGACUAAUUUUUUUUUUUUCUAUUUUUAGUAGAUUCGGGGUUUCACCGUGUUAGCCAGGAUGGUCUCGAUCUCCUGACCUCAUGAUCCAGUCACCUCAGCCUCCCGAAGUGCUGGGAUUACAGGCAUGAGCCACUGCGCCUGGCCUGGAGCAGGUACUUUUUAUCCAUCACCUUAUUUAAUCAUCAUAUCCCUCUUAGUCUGCUAGGGUUGCCAUAAGAAAAUACCAUAGACUGGGUGGCUGAUACAACAACAAUUUAUUUUCUCACAUUCUGGAGGCUAGAAAGUUCCAGAUCAAGGUCCUGCAGGGUUCGGUUUCUGGUGAGGACUCUCUUCCUGGCUUACAGGAAACCACCAUCCCAUUAUGUGCUCACAUGACCUCUGCUUUGACUGAUCUCUGAGAGAAAGGGAAUUCUGGUGUCUCUUCCUCUUCUCAUAAGGGCACUAGCUCUAUGGGAUUAGGGAUCCACCCUUUUGACCUCAUUUAACCUUUAUCACCUCCUCACAGGCCCUAUCUCCAAAUGGGGAUAACAUUGGGGGUCAGGGCUUCAACACAUAAAGUUGAGGAGAACAUGAUUCAGUCUAUAGUAAUCCCUGAUGGGAGACAUCAUUAUUGUCAUUUAUAGGAAGCUGAGACACAAAAAGUUUAACCUUCAGAUUCCACAGCUAGAAUUAGUGUAAAAUGCAGGUGUAUUUGACUCCUAAAACCCAUUUCUCCAUCCACUAUUCUGGGUGUCUCAAACUGGGACCUAAAAUGCGGAGGUUUGCACAUGACCUGAAAUUACUUCCAUCACUGGAAGAAGGGAGGAUUGAGCAAUUUCCUGUUUCUAUUAAAGUGAAUUAUACAAACUUGUUAUUCUAGGGAUGAAAGGUCUCCCUAGAAUUGCCUAUGGGCAAUUUCUUAUAGUUCAACCUAGAAUGAGAAAUGGGAAAUUCAGAAAGGCAUUGCAGGCAUCUGUAACCAGCAGAGGGACGUGCCCCACCUGGGUGGGGACCAUGCAUCCUUGCCACAUGCCCCACUGCACAACUUCCCCAGCUCCUCGAUGUCACAUGGAUCUGGAAAGCAGGGAGACUGGACUACGGAGCCAGCCCUCCAGGGUUGGAACUGAGUUUGAAUCUCAGCUUGACUAUUUACUAGGACCUAAGGUAACAUGUUUAAUCUCUCUGUGCUCAGUUUCCUCAUCUGGAAAUAGAGAUUAUAACGCUCCUCCCUCAUAUGAUCAUAGUGAGGACUGAAAGAGUUAAUGCAUAUAAGGAGUGUUAGGACAGGAUCUGGCACAUGGUAAAUGCUUUAUAAGUGUUAGUUGUUAUCAUCAUGCUUAUUCUUGUUUGAAUUAUAAGGAAGAGAAAAAGUAUGUAUCUUAAGAAUAGAGGGUUUUAAAAUGCUCCCAAGUUCCUUAACCAACCUGAGCCAUCUGUAAAUUAAGUAUUAUGGGAUUUCCAGCUCUGACAUGUAUUCUGACAUGUAACUGACAUCAGUUUAAUACAAACUAUUCUAAAAUGUCUUGUGCCCUUGACAGGGAGGUCCAAGUACUGGAUACUUGCAAUGCAAUCCAGCAGUGGCCCCGUCUUUCUUACAAAAAGGCCCCAGUCACAUGAUGAUGAGGCUAGAUCUAUUCCUGUCCUCCUUCUCUUCUUCAUAUUUCCUUCUUCUUCUUCAAGGUCUAAACGUUUAUUGAACUGAGACCCAUGAAUGAGUUACUCGACUAGGCUUGUAGGAUAAACUUGCCAGGCUUUAGAUCUAUUUGUUCCUUUCCAUCCCCCAAAAUCAAAUGGCUGCUCCAGGAAAAUGUUCCCCUUGUGGCAGGGUCCAGGAGAAAAGAGAGAGGCGACAAAACCAAAAAUUAAAACGACUGAAGUCCCAUAUGCUCCAGGAAUGUGUCCUGGAGAUGGGAGUGGAGGACAAGGGGAGAAUGUUGUUGAGGUCAAAAAUUUUUGAAGUUUUCAGUCCUAUAUCUUGACAUCCCGAGUAUAAAUGCGGGUACCAGACACAGUACAAACGUUCUCAAAGCCCAGUUACAUAUUCCAAACCAAACGCGGGCUCUUGAAGGGUGAUGAGGUAGGGAUGAAAUCCAGGAUCGCCUGAAGACCAUUUCUUCCUCUCUUAGGGACCUGCUUGGCUCCAGCUGAUUCGGUCCAGGAGGAAAAAACUCCCACUUGCUCCUCUCGGGCUCCCUGCAAGGAGAGAGCAGAGACACUCCUGCCACCCAGUUGCAAGAAGUCGCCACUUCCCCCUCCAGCCGACUGAAAGUUCGGGCGACGUCUGGGCCGUCAUUUGAAGGCGUUUCCUUUUAAGAACAAAGGUUGGAGCCCGAGCCUUGCGGCGCGGGUGCAGGAAAGUACACGGCGUGUGUCGAGAGAAAAAAAAUACACACACGCAAUGACCCACGAGAAAGGGAAAGCGGAAAACACCAACUACCCGGGCGCUGGGCUUUUUCGACUUUUCCUUUAAAAAGAAAAAAGUUUUUCAAGCUGCGCGGGCUUCCUGUGCGCGGCCGAGCCCGGGCCCAGCGCCGCCUGCAGCCUCGGAAAGGAGCGGAUCGCGGAGCCCCGAGCCGCCCGCAGAGCAAGCGCGGGGAACCAAGGAGACGCUCCUGGCACUGCAGGUACGCCGACUUCAGUCUCGCGCCCCCGCCCGCUUUUCCUCUCUUGAAGGCGGCAGGGACGCCGGGAGACCUCGGUGCGAGGGUCACCGCCGGGUUAACUGGCGAGGCAAGGCGGGGGCAGCGCGCACGUGGCCGUGGAGCCCGGCUCGGUCCCGCGCGUGCCUGCGGGUGCCGCCUGGGGACUCAGUGGUGUCGCCUCGCCCGGGACCAGAGAUUGCGCUGGAUGGAUUCCCGCGGGCAGAGGCAGAGGGAAGGAGGGGUGUUCGAAACCUAAUACUUGAGCUUCUUUGCAAAGUUUCCUUGGAUGGUUGGGGAGGUACCUGUAUAAUGGCCCUGGACCAGCUUCCCUGUUAGAGCAGCCAGAGAAGUGUGUAAAACACACUAGAGGGGCAGGGUGGAAAAACAGACUGCCUUCAAAACUGUAUCUUUUCUAUUUCAUUUUGAAAAAUAACUACAAAUCUAUUUUAAUUUUACAAAGUUAGACUCAUAGCAUUUUAGAUAUCAAUGUCUUCAUUUAACAGAAGCUAAGAUGGAGCAAACGCUCAAUCAGCAUCUGUAUUUAUUCGCUCCUGUUGUGCUAGGGUGCGUUUUUGCCCAGCGGUUGCCUUUCUUUACUCUCACGAAACCCCCUUGGUGUCUGUCCUCCACGUUUUACGAGGGAGAGCCGGAUCUUUUGAAGUUUGUAUCAUCUAAAGCAGGUAUAUUGGGAUGACUAUGGAUAGAGUUUAACCUGAAAAUACUGAAGUUGACAGCUGACAAAGAUAUAAGAAUCCAAAGUAUGUUAAAAAUUAAGGAGCUGAGGCCCAGAGAAGUGAAGUUACUUUUCCAGCAUCACACAGCAGAUCCAGGACCCUGUGUGAUUUGAAAAGGCCAAGGUAUCUAAUGAUGCUCAUAAUUUAGUUUACAUUUUGUGUCAAAUAGAUGAGGUCAAGUGGACAUUAUGUGUAUAUUCCAAAGCCAAAAUUACUGCUUGUAAUAUCCAUUCAUCUCUCCGAAGAAGUAGUGCCUCUUUUAUAUGGCUUUAACCUAAUGUAUAAUCGAAGUGAAUUAGGGCAGCCGAACUUUUAAUCACAGGACUGAUCUUUUAAAAACGGGUAUAUGUAAAGUUAAUUGCUUAUCUAUGUGAACAGUAAUAUACGCUAUAAAAAGUUUUCAAGGCAACUUCCUGCCUGUGGUUUAAUUUGAUAGUCACAAUGAUAGGAAAUUGGCAGGGUUAGGUGGUGGUAUCUACAUUUUGCCCAUGAGGACUUGUGGCUCGGAGAAUUUGAGUUUUUUCUAGUAAGGUCACUAGGUCCCUAGUGCACAGCCUGCUUUUAGGUACGGAUGUGGGAUGGGGGUGUCGGCGGACCACAGGGUUUUGACUCUCAGUUUGGGCUCAUUUCCAUGACUCCUUGCUGCCUCCCUGAUUUCUGUCAAAUGACCAAAGCACAUUUAGUAAUUACUUCUGCCGCAAGGACUACUCCUUAUUAGGCUGUGAUAAGCAAGUUUCCUCACAUAGUGGGUCAGCUCACUCUGGCCACAGGACCCAGCUUCCUAACCACACACAUUAAGAAAGAGAAAAAUUAGCACUGUCUGAGACCUACAACCACUUCAAGGGAGAACAGUGGUGUUUGCACAAAUGUCUACUUUUGUUUUAACCUAGUCAUGUGUAAAAAGUGUAAUUUGCUGGUCUUUACCAAAAAAAAAAAAAAAAAAAGUCAUCAUUGUCUGCCUGUGCUGGACGCUAUGCUAGACACUGGAGAGACAAAGGUGAGCAGGAUAGGCACAACCCUACCCUUACAAACCCAGAAAGUUAGAGGAAAGGCCAUCAGGACGUUGCUGUGCAAUUUGAUAUCAUUUCAAUUUUGAUAACAUAGAUACUUGAACUAAUUAGAAUGUGCUACAAAUUUUGCCAUUCUUUACUUUCCAUGUGCCAACAUGGAAAAUUUGUAACCUUCAUCUUUAAAUACCUCAUCUUACCAGUCCUCUAUAAAUAAAAAAAUCUACCCCAAAAAGCCCUAGGUUUUAACUUUUGAAAAGUUUUUUUUUAAUCAGCUUUUCAUGUCAUGACUAAGAUCUGCCAUUCAAUUUAAAGGAAUUCUUUCAUUUUAGAGUAACAGUUAUUAAAAUCCUUUAUUCCUUCCUCCUUGAGAAGCUAAUGGAAAUUUUAUAUGCUCUUCCCAGAAAAUUUUUGUUAAUGUGCAUCCUCACACAGCAUUUUGCAUUCGAUGUCAGCAGGCUAGAGGCUUCCUUGAAUCUCAGCCAUGACCCUCUUCGGGGGUCCACUUUCAUAAUCAGUAUUCUAAACCUAGUAGGCAUAAAUAGCUUGAAUAGAGGAAAGUGGUAUGUAGACUCUUGCCCUUCACUUGGACUGGGCACCUCUAUCUCUUGGACUGGGCACCAGCUAGUGCCCUUAACUAGCUGGUGUCUCCAUUUUUGUUAGUCAUUGGCUAUUGCUUAGCUGAAGCUAUUGAUUUUAACAGCCUUAUUGUUUUGAUAUCAGGCUGCCACUCUGCAGAAGCCUAAUACUGGGGAAGGAGCACCAGCCUGAGAACCACAGUUUGUUUCUAGGACCAACUCUGCAGAGUUCUGUGCCUCAUUUUGCUCAUCUCUAAGAUGGGUGGUUGAUGGGCGGCAGGGACUGAACCAUUUCUAAAAUCCCUUACACUGAUGAAAUUCUGUGAUUCCAGUGUAACUACCAAGCUCACUUUCAUAUACCUCCUAAGACACAGCUGGUCUUAGUGAAUUUAUAUCCUCUAUGUCCAAAGUAAGUCAAAGUAAGUACCACUAUAAUUCACUAUAGAAUGUAUUUUUAUCUUUCACUGAUCUUACUGGACUCAAAACUGUUACAUGUUUCCUUAAAUUAGAUAGAAUUAAAAAAUUGUGAAACACUACUUUUCAAGGAAAAAUAUUACCAUUUUAAAAGGCUCUUUUUAUCCCACCUCUCAGUAGCUACAACUUUCAUAUAUGAGUUUCAUAUAUAUAUGAAAAAAUUUUUCUUAUCUCAGACUCUUAAGGAAAUACAAUUCUUUUAAUAUGAUCACUGCUAUGUAAUUCUCAUCUGCCCUGAAACACUUAAGUUCUGUCCGUCAAUCAAUGUAUUUGGGCUUACAAUAUUCAGAGCCUCAAGCAAAACCAGCGCAAAAGCACAUCUAUCCUCAAAUAAGCACAUCAUAUGUCUGAGCAGUUCAGCAUCCUCACUCACAAGUCCAAGGCUCUCAGCAAUGUGGAAGAAGAUGUGAUUCCUAAAAUUACCACCCUUACACACAGUGACACACUCACCAGAAAGUGAGGCUUAACAUAGCUUAAGUGGCUGUAGUUUAAAACAGAUUGUGAAUAUCUGUGCUAAUUCUGAGAAACAAUUAGCAGAGAUAUUAAUCAAUUAGCACAGAUCACUAAUAUCUGUGCUAAUUGUUAGGACAGAUUAGCACAGAUAUUGCUACCUUGUGUGGGUAGACAGGGUUAAGGCACUGGCAGAAGGAAAGAUUAGUGAAGAAUAUCAAAUGGCUGAUUUAAUGAAAUUGUGAGGCUGAUGUUUGGAUAAGGUGAAACAGUGCCCUACAAUGACAUUUAUGCCAGUUCUCCAUAAACAAGAGUGUUCUACACAAAUUAUAAGUUCCUGGCUGUCUUAACAAAAUGCUAUGGUCCUUUAUAUGCUCACACAAAUAAUGGUUCCAAGCAUGGGAAACAGGUGCCAGAUUGCCCAGGUAGGCAUCCCAGCAGCAUGCUCCUUAGCCACUGAUUAACCUUGCACAAGUUACUUCACCUGCCUGUGCCUCAAGGCCCCUGUGUUUCAAUGGGGAGGGUGUGAAUACUCAUUCCUAAGGUUGUGACGAGGAAUAACUGAGUUAGUAUACAUCAAACACUUAGGUGCUUGGCACAGAGGGAGCUCUGUGUAAGUGUUUGCUAUUAUUUUGUUUCAGUAGAUGAUCUUGUGUAUUAUAAGAAAUCAGUUUGGAAGGUGAGAUACAAAUGCAGUCUGAGAAAGUAAAGAUGUUUUAAAGACAUUUUACUGUGUCAUGAAUUUUCAGAGACCACACUGACACAGUAAAAAGUUGUUUGGUUUUUAGAAUUUUGUUUCAGAAUGCAUAUCCUUCUCCUUAACCAAAAGAAAAACUACUAAAAUACUUCUGAAAAUUAUUUCCAAGAAAACAUUUUGGUGUACCUUUUAGCAGUUACUUUAAGACUUAAAGAUUAGGAUAAACCAAAUAAUUAUUUUAACUUGGCUUUUACCUGCUUGUAGAUAACCUCUAAUUGAUAUAAUGGUUCAAUUAUACAGUGGUAAACGUAUCUGGGCUUGUUCUUUUAAAAUGCAAGUGUAACAUGUGAUAGAUGUAGGGUACUUACAAAGUACUCACUAAGCAUUGAUGACUGAUGUCAUUAGUAUCACAGCUAACAUUCAUUGAGCCCUGAUUAUGAGGCUGGCACCCAACUAAAUGUUUUGCAUCGUCACUUCAUCUUCACAAAGACUUUUUGAGUAGGUUAUACCUUUAUCUCCAUUUUCAGAGAAGCAACUAAGCCUUAAAGAGGUUUAUUAACUUGCCAAAUACCAAACAGCUAGUAACACUGGUGGGGUCUGGAAUGGAACCCAGGCAAGCUGAAAAUGACAGAACAAUGAACAUUCCUACUUUUCAAUUAGAUUUGCUAAUUGUUAAUAUUUGCCACAUUGGCUUAUCUCUCUGUAUCCCUACCCAUCUCUCUCUCUGUCUAUAUCUAUAUGCAAACCUGGCAUCUAACUUCUAAAUGCUUGAGCAUGGAUCUCCUAAGAACAAGUACAUGGUUCUAUGCAAUGAAAACACAUGAUUAUGGCAUCCAAGAGUGAUUUUAAAAAUCAAGGAUGAAACUUAAUUUUUACCCACAAGUCCAGAUGAUGAUUUCUACUAGUAUUCUCCAGCUUUACUCUGUUUCUUAUACUUGACAGACUGAGAUCCAAGCCUGGAAUCUUCUAAAAAGGGUCCACUGCCAAUCUGGAAUGCCAACAAAUCUUAUUAAUAUAUCUCCACAUUUGUAAGCUUCUACUAAAUUCUCCAAGAACCUGCAUAUCAGUUAAGUCCUGAAAUGCUCCAGUGCCAAAUAAAAGACCACUGUGCAGAUAGAAAUGCCUUUGGAGACUCUCAAACAUUUAUUCAAAAGUAUUUAGUGAGUAUCUGUCAGCUGUAUAUCCAGCACUGAGGGAAGACUCGGUCUCUGCCAUCACAUACACCUCAGCACUGAGACACAUGAAAUAAUUACCAUCCAGUGUGAUAAGUGCUCUGACAGAGGAUGGAGAGAGGACUAGCCACCUUGGGGAAGAGAGAGAAGCAGGGUCCCAUCAGGAGAUGAGGAGAAACCAGCCUCCAGGAGUGCGCUAUCUGAGAGGGCAAGAGAAGGAAGGCAAAGAGGACAGGUCCAUACUUGAACAACUUGAAGUAGGUGUAUCUAGUGCCUAAGAGUGUGUAUGGUGACAUCUUGUGGAGCAGUGAACAUGACCCUCAUUUGGUUUGUUAAAGCAUUGGGUCAAAUGCCACGGGAAUGUAACAGGUAAAUGGUCUUUGCCUUAUAACACAGGGUAUCCCAUCCGUGUAAGACAAUGAAUUUUUAAAAAGGCAAAACCAAACCUUUUGUUUACAUCAUUUGCCUUAAAUAGUUCUUAGUACACAAAUUCUUCCUUGCUUGGGGCCAUUAUGGUGUGUGGAAGUAGAAAAAGAUAAAUUGUAGCUUACAGAAAUAGAAAAGCAAUUUUUUCCUAUGAUAGAGACAUAUGGAUACAAGAAACAAACAGGUAACACAUAAUAAGUUCCAAAUGAGGCAUUUUGUUGACAUUCAGUGUUGAGCAUAAACAGUGAACUCAAAUGCACAGAGGAGGCCUCAUGGAAGGGUGACAAAACACUCCAGAGCAAUAACAGCCACCCUAUUUUCUGUUCCUUGGGAGUAGGGAGAAAAGACAUCAAAAUCAAAUUAUAAAUUUAAAAAAGUAUUACAGUUCUCUUAUGGACAUAUGAUAUUAAGAAGUUUGUAGGCAAAUGGAAAACGUUUUGUGGAAACAAGAAAUAAGAAAGAAUGGCCAUCACUUAAAGCAACAGAAUGCAUCUCUCCCACUAGCUCUCCCCUCCCUACCCACAGCUUUAUUCACAUUUGUUCUAUAACAUUUCAGCACAGUUCAGACCUUCCACUGAGCCAGUGUGAGGUCAGGGUGUUGAGGAAGCAAGUCCCUGCAGUCAGACUCCAGCUGGCUGUCGUCCUGCUUCUGCUUAUUCCACAGAAUGAGUCUGGUUGGGGAGAGGAAAUUCCUAACCUGUUUUUUUUUUUUACACAUCUUCAUCAGAAAAGUGAAAGCACUAAUUACUGUCCAUAAUAAAACUAUUGGGAAGGUUACUUAGCUUGUAAGUAAGUUCCACAAAGCCAUUUCAGUAAAAGCUUCCUGGUUCUAAAAUUGGGAAAAGCAGGAUAAUCCUCUAAGGCUGACAUUCUUUCUCUUUUGUGCAUUUACAACUAAACGGUCACUGAUACACAUUUCCACAGUGAUCCUGCAAUAUCCACAUUGGCUUUCUUCUAAGACACUUCAAAAAUACAUCACACCUUUAUGUGUUAAAUAUCACUAUUGGCAUAUAUCUUUAAAAACAUUUAUUUUCUUAAUUCUCAAAAUACAGAAAAGAAUGUUAUGCUAUUGUGUGUGCAAACUGCUAUUUUCAAUAAGGAGCUCUUAAUUUAGAAAUAGCUGCUAUUUUUCAAUAAAGAGCUCUCAAUUAGAAAUAUCAAGAAGUGAUGUUAAGUUUUUAUGGAAGUAAAUAAAAUAUCAUGACAUGAAAAGUUUAUAAUUUUUCCCCCAGCAAUGGCUCACUCAGGGAAUUUUUCUUAUAUCUAAAGUUAAUGAUCUGAAAAGUGGUAAUCUUGUCAUUCACCAAGAUUUCAGGAUAUAAGUUAUUCCUACAGAACAAUCCAUUUUUACCUUUAAGGAUGAGUUUGUGUACUUCAGAAGACGUGAUGCCAGUUGGCCACCAUCUCAAUCAGUAGUAAGUCACACCAUCAAUCCCUUGUUAAUGAUGGAACUCGUGAAGUCAAGAGGAAACAUAAUACUCUUUACCUCAUUCCCUGGUAGCAGAGAAGUUGACUCAUCUUUAAUGUCAGUUAUUGAGAUGUAACACAGAAUCAUAUUCUACAGAAAAUAUGUGAUAAUCUUUACAUAAAUGAAUACACUUUAGAAAGGCAGUCAUUUGGAUUUUCUUUUUGUCAGAGAACAUUGCAAGUCUUCAUGAAGAAUUUCUGAGAAAUUAAACACUUUAUAUGACAUUUUACAGCAUGUAGAGAGGUUGAAACUCAGAGAACUAAAACUCAGAUGAUAGUCUAAAUACUUAAUUUGUUGCUGCUUUAUGCUGGACAUGAAAAGUGUGAGCUUAAAUUAUAAAUAAAAAACUAUUGAACUAUCAAACUAUUUGGGGUACAUCCUUAUCUUUCCUCUAAAUUACCCUUUAUUCUCAUUAAAAUCCACCUAUCCCGGGUCCUCUCUCCUCAGCCCUUGAUCCCUGCUUUCAAAGAUGACUAACUAACCUAAUAAACACAUCUAAGGUGAUUUGUCAACUUCAACCCCAACCCUUUUUCCCCAGACAACUUGUCUGCAUUUCAAGAACAACCUACCAGAGACCUUACCUUUCACCUUGGCUCUCCCACCCAAUGGAGAUGGCUGUCAUGGUAAGGAAUUCUGUCUUAAGUAAAAGGGAAGGGAAACACGCUGACAGAUGCAGUUUUUAUAGAGGCAGGUCGUUGGGGCAUCAAGUUGGCAGCCACUUUCAACUUUUGAUCCUACCUCAAAAGGUAACCAAGAAAUCGUUGUUAUUCUAAAGAUUAUGACAAGUCCAAAGUUUCACAGAAUCCUUAUUUUUAUAUACUUGCAUUAAUCACUGCUUACUUCCAUGAUGUAAACCAAAACUGCAGUGGCAGAAUAUAGAGAAUCAGAAUAAAUUCUGAUAGAAAAGCCAGAUACCGCUUCCACAUAUACAAGUGUAUGCUAAUUGCUUUUAGCAAAUUGAUCCAAAUAGGAAUCAACAUUAUUCCAUCUUAAUGAUUAUGUUUUUGAUUGGUACACAUAAAUGUUAAAGUGGGAAAAUAUGCAGAGGAAGUUACCUAAACUAAAUCAUUUGAAUUUUCAACAACAUAAUUACAUUCCAUUUCACCUACUAAAAUGGCUUUGGACCUAGAAUUUGUAUUGCUACAUCAAUAUAAGAUGACUUUCAGUAAAAAUAGAUGUACAGUUGAUUUGUAACAACAAAUUAAUAGUUUUAAAUUAUUUGCAUAUUUCAGGGUAAAUAAAAUUAGAGCUAUCCCACAAUCGCUUUGGUUAUGAAAUUCGACCACUGUAACUUUUUUUAAAGAAAACUUUAUGGUGUGCAGUUCCUUGGUAUGCAAAUUUUAAAUGGUUGGUGCUGAGAAUAAGCAGCAAUAUAGAAAUAUAUAUAAUUGUAGAAGAAUAUAACCUAUGAUUUAGACAUAAAACGAGAUCCUUACAAGAUAGAGUUAUGGAGAUGGAUGAUAAUGAUAGUUGUAGAACAUUAUGACUAAGUGUUUAAUAUAGCUGACCUGUACACUUAAAAAUGGUGAAGAUGUUAAACUUACAUUAUGUUUACAUUACAUAUUUCACCACAAUAAAAAAUUUUUGAAGGAAAACCAGAACUUUAAUGACAAACUUAGGACAUAUUAUGCUCUGAAUAUAUAGUUUUGAUAACAUCUUUCCUGGCAAAUCAACAAGGUAAGAAUAAAAGGAUAUUCUGAAAUCUUUUUUUUUCUUUGGAGACAGAGUCUUGCUCUGUUGCCCAGGCUGGAGUGCAGUGGCACAAUCUCGGCUCACUACAACCUUCUGCCUCCCGGGUUCAAGUGAUUCUCCUGCCUCAGCCUCCUGAAUAGCUGGGAUUACAGGCGCACGCCACCACACCUAGCUAAUUUUUUUGUAUUUUUAGUACAGACAGGGUUUUACCAUGUUGGUCAGGCUGGUCUCAAACUCCUGACCUCAUGAUCCACCCACCUCGGCCUCCCAAAAUGCUAGGAUUACGGGCAUGAGCCACCGCACCCAGCCAGAUAUUCUUAAAUCUUAUGCUCACACUCCACCCCCCCAAAAAAAUUGUCCUUCAGGAAAGCAUAAUUUAAGGAAAAAUUUCCCAAAGUGCCACCUUCAGCUUCAUUCUUACUACGAGAGGAAGAAUUGCCUGUCAUAUAAUGAAAGAUACUUGGUGUUAUCAUUAAUCUAGUAUACACAGUGCUUCCUCUUGGUAGAUUUUUACCCACUGUGAGAAGGAAUGAUUUUGAUACUCAGACAGUGUGUAGUAAUUUGUUAAGAACAUUUAACUUGGAACCUAUGCUACACAGUAAAACUUAUACUGACAAUGGAUAUUUCAUGUGGUAGGCCUAAGAAGUAUUGUGGAGUGAGGGGACUGGAAGUAUAUGUGCAGAACUACCUAGUCAAAGACCCCAAUCUAAUUUCUAAUGUAUAAUUCAUAUAAAUUCCUCUUGCAUUGCUAUACAUUAAACAUUAUGCUUGUCACAUUCUUACUUGGUUAGCACUGUCACUAUUGAUUGUCAGGCCUAUAAUUGUGUAUAAUUCUUCCCCUGCCACUUUACCAGCUGGUGGCCACACCGAUUCCAGAAAGAACUACUUCAUUUCUUAUUACCUCAUGAAAGCACCCUCUGCCCUAUGCCUUGGCUAAUAGACUGGUCUUUGUUGUCUACAACCACUAAUUCCCACUCAGGCAUAUAGCAAUUCUGUUGUUGGUUGCUUAGCCCAGUCAAAAACACUGGAAGUGGACAUAGACUCCACACUGAUGGAUGAAUGACCUUCUAGUCAUUCUAAUGUCCUUAAAAGUCUACUAUUUUUAAAUUGAAUAUAUAUAUAUAUAUAUAUAUUCUGGGAUAUUUCUCCUUUAUUCUGUUCGUUAAUGUUUUUCGUCUAUCAUUGUGUUUUAAAUAUGACCUAAGGUUCUAUGGUAUAUUUAGACAAACUUCUCAUUUCUCUACAGUGUUAGGAAUUCAUCACGCCUGUAUGACAAGGUUGUGUUUGAGAACAAAAGGGGACCUGUGUGACAUGUUUUAUUUCAAUAUACAUUUAGAGUUUGAACAAAUAAGAAAAGCUAUUAGAAUUUUUAAUAUAUAUAACACAUUAUCAAAAACACUGUCACUUUUCUGAGUGCUCUAAUCAGGCAAUUCAUAUGUAUAUUUAAAAAGAGAGAAAAAGCUAAUUAGUAUACUAAAUAUAUUUAUUUUAAUACCUGUGCUCAUAUGUUAUCUUUAAAGAACAGGAAUAAAAUUUAUGGGUAGAACAGUAUGCCAGCAAUUUACCUUCAAUACAAAUUAAACACAUCUUUUAAGAAAAGGGUGAGUUAUGUUGGCUGGGGUGGCACUAACACUAGAUUAUUAAUAUGUAUUUAUUGAACAUUUACUGUGUCCAGGACCCUGUAAGGGGGAAAAAAAGUCCUUGUUUUUAUAGUCUUUAUUGACUGAAAUUCUAUAGAAUGAAUUGAAUUCCUGAAGUGACAUCAUUUAACCCAAAUUUUUUCAUCAUCAACUAAUUCAUCUCAGAAAACAGUGAAGUUUAAAAAAAAAAUACUAUCAGUAAGAAUGAUAUAUUUCCUUGGUUUGGAAAUUUCCAAACCACGAUAUUCUGCCCCGUCAAAAUAUAUUCACUGGGGAAUUUUUUACUUCAUACGUUUCUUUUGAACUUAGUCACAUUUUUAUAUCUAGCUGGUUUCAUUAUUAAAUAAAAGAAAAGGUGAUUCCCCUCUUGUACUGCAGGAGACCACAUACUUGAAUGAUACUCUAACUUCUAGGUUCUGUUAUAGUAACACUGAAAUCAGAAACCUGUGGGAGAAAUGUCACUUUAUCUGAGAGAGUAAAAUCAGACUCUAAAAGGAAGUAGCAAAUUCAUCUUGUUCUUUUUUUUAAUCAACCCUCUGCCUAAGACAAGUAGUUUGAAAUACAGAGGACUGUUUAAGUCAUACUUCCUUUAUGUAGUCAAAACCAAAGCCACUGGGUAGUGCUUUCCCCAAAGGAAUCUCUAAAUAGUAGACAGGGACAUUUUCAGAUAGAUUCGUUUGUAGGCAAACCUCCAUUGCUUGUAUCAUAUUUCCUGAAAGAAUAAAGGUAAAACUUCAACUAUGUAUUACAGAAUGAAAAAUUCAGCCUGAACCCUACCCUUAUAAAACAGGUUAAUUGGGUUUUAAUUUUCAUAAAUCAUAAAGGACUAUUUUGCACAUUUGGGCCUUUAAUUGUCUAGCUCCCAGAUGAAGUACAAAUCAGAAAAAAAAAAAAAAAAAAACUGUACUGUGUCAGAAUGCAAGCUUCCCUCUUUGCAUUUUGGCAUUUGAAAACUCCGAAGAGUGGUUUUUGUUUUUUAUUUAAAGAACAUGAUACAUAUGUGUAUCCGAUUCAAAACUAGAGAAUAGAAUUUAAAACAUAAUUUUCAAAGUCUUCAAAUAUGCCUAAAGGUAACAAUGUCAUCUUUUAAUUGCCAAUUUCUCUACCACUUUCAAAAAAUUACUUCCAAGGAUUUAAUGAGCUCCUUCCUUUCAACAGAAAAUGGACUAUUUUCCUUUCAGAUUUACUAUAUUCUGUCACUCCAGCUUUAUAACCGCAUGUGCAUACACAAACAUUUCUUUCUCUCUUGCAGGUGGCACAAACCAGGAAGGGGAAAUCUGUGGUUUAAAUUCUUUAUGCCUCAUCCUCUGAGUGCUGAAGGCUUGCUGUAGGCUGUAUGCUGUUAAUGCUAAUCGUGAUAGGGGUUUUUACCUCCAACUGACUCCUACAUGUUAGCAUUAACAGGGUAUGAUGCCUGUUACUAGCAUUCACAUGGAACAAAUUGCUGCCGUGGGAGGAUGACAAAGAAGCAUGAGUCACCCUGCUGGAUAAACUUAGACUUCAGGCUUUAUCAUUUUUCAAUCUGUUUUGGUCACUGGGAUGUUCAACCUUAAACUAAGUUUUGAAAGUAAGGUUAUUUAAAAGAUUUAUCAGUAGUAUCCUAAAUGCAAACAUUUUCAUUUAAAUGUCAAGCCCAUGUUUGUUUUUAUCAUUAACAGAAAAUAUAUUCAUGUCAUUCUUAAUUGCAGGUUUUGGCUUGUUCGUUAUAAUGUUCCUAAACACCUUUGAUUCAACUGUUAGAAAUGUGGGCUAAACACAAAUUUCUAUAAUAUUUUUGUAGUUAAAAAUUAGAAGGACUACUAACCUCCAGUUCUAUCAUGGAUUGUCUGGCAACAUUUUUUAAAAGAUUUAGAAACUGGUACUUUCCCCCAGGUAACGAUUUUCUGUUUAGGCAACUUCAGUUUAAAAUUAAUACUUUUAUUUGACUCUUAAAGGGAAACUGAAAGGCUAUGAAGCUACAUUUUUUAAAUGAAAUAUUUUUAACAAUUAGCAGGGUAAAUAACAUCUGACAGCUAAUGAGAUAUUUUUUCCAUACAAGAUACAAAGAUUUAAUCAAAAAAUUUCAUAUUUGAAAUGAAGUCCCAAAUCUAGGUUCAAGUUCAAUAGCUUAGCCACAUAAUACGGUUGUGCGAGCAGAGAAUCUACCUUUCCACUUCUAAGCCUGUUUCUUCCUCCAUAAAAUGGGGAUAAUACUUUACAAGGUUGCUGUGAGGCUUAGGUGAGAUAGAGAAUUAUUCCAGAAGAUAAUCAAGUGCUACAUUAAUGUUAUAGUUAGAUUAAUCCAAGAACUAGUCACCCUAACUUUAUUACAGAAGGGAAAAGCUAAUGAUUUGAUUUGCAGAAUUUUUAAGGUUUGGAUUUCUAUGCGGUUUUUCUAAAUAAUCAUCACUUACAAAUAUGUAACCAAAUGUAAUUGUUAGUAUAUUUAAUGUAUACUUGUUUUAACAACUCUUCUCAACAUUUUGUCCAGGUUAUUCACUGUAACCAAAUAAAUCUCAUGAGUCUUUAGUUGAUUUAAAAUAAUUUUUAUGGCCCAUUUUCUUUUGCAAAGUACAAAUUAUAAUUUCAGAAGCUAUCUGCCAAAAAAAGACAAUGGAAGACAAUUAUGAGGAUACUAAAGGGAACAUUCCUGACUCCUAGGACACAGUAUUCUCAUGUAAGAAUACCCAUUGGGCUUUGCCCCACUUUCUGUUCAAGUUGUAUGUGCUGCCAAGACAAAUUUCUUCUCCUAACCCCUGGAAUGAGCUUGUGGCUCCACGGAGCUCCCAUGUAGGUAGAACACAUUCAAGAGUGUUUCUUCAGGCCAGGCACAGUGGCUGACGCCUAUAAUUCCAACACUUUGGGAGGCCAAGGCGGGUGGAUCACUUGAGGUCAGGAGUUCUAGACUACACUGGCCAACAUAGUGAAACCUCAUCUCUACUAAAAAUACAAAAAUUAGCUAGGCAUGGUGGUGCGUGCCUGUAAUCCCAGAUACUCAGGAGGCUGAGGCAGGAGAAUCACUUGAACCCAGGAGGUGGAGUUCACAGUGAACGAAGAUCAUGUCACUGCCCUCCAGCCUGGGUGACAGAGUGAGACUCCAUCUCAAAAAAAAAAAAAAAAAAGAGUGUUUCUUCAAUUCAUUUUAUCUGCCACUGUAUAUCUACAAGAGGACUCCUUGCUUUGAGUCCCAGUUCUUCAAAAUCCUGCUUGCUGCCUAAAGACACAAAGUCAUAGAACAUUAGGACUGGAAUAAACUAUUGUAGUAUAACCUUCCUGAAGUUACAAUAAAAAGCUAUGAACAUUACAAAGGCACUUAAAGAAAAGCUGUGCUGAGAAAUGCCUUAUUUGAAGAGCAUUUGAGUACACUCACAUGAAGCUUGGGAAAGAUACUUAAUCUUCCUCUAAGCCUCAAUUUCUUCAUCAAUAAAAUGAUGAAUAUAUUUCAUAUUUCAUAGGAUGUAGGCUUAAAUGAAAUCAUGCAUGUGAAAAGCACAAUGUCUAUUAUGCAUUAAGUGUUAAACACAAACUUUCAAACUUUUACAUUUCAGUCAUUUAAAUCAAAUGAUCUACCAUAGCAGAUCUCCCCAAGGACACUCUAGCUCCAAACUAACUAUAAUCCCGUGGUGACAACCCAAAGAACCAGGGUUCCUGGGUUUUCUCUCACACCCAGCCCACCUAGGCUUCUGACUGCCUAUCUCCUCAUCUUAGAGGGAUUCCUCCUGGCCAGUCAUUACAAAAAUUGUUGGAGCAUGAGCAGAGACUGAGUCUGUGUUUGGAUUGGAGGAAGGGGUAAGUAACAAGGUAUAUAUAUGUAUGCAUGUAUGUGUGUGUCUGUGUGUGUGUAAGUUACAAACUAAGGAUGGUUUUAAUAAAUUGCAAAAUGUUAAGAGAUUCAUCUAGGAUCUGACCCACUUCCCCAGAAAUUUAUGGGAUUCAACACCAAGCCUUUCGUAUUCACUGUCAUCAGUUAGAUGGACCCAGUAGCUAAAAAAUUAAGCAGAAAAAAAAUAGAGGAAUAUGAGAAAAAAAGUCAAGUCAGAGGACUGAAGAAUAUAUACAGAACAUAGAAUAUUAGAAAUUUUCUGAAAAUAGAUGAUAGCAAAUACCUCAAGAAAGUGAGGAAACGUGAAGAGAAAAGGGAGCUUAAAGAAAAAUAAUAGAGUCCAUAGAUGGGACACAAGCACAAAAAGCUGACUGAGCAUGUGGUUCUCUACUAAUAACUGGAAAACAGUGAAACUAGCAGGUAAAACUUGCACAUAAGAGUUUAACUUUCCACUUUGGGUUUCAAAUUCUCCCAUAGCAAUAAGAGUAAGUGAAAUAAUGUUCACAUAAGGAUUUUUUUUCUAUUACUGUAGUGUUUUGUUGUUUUUUUGUUUUGUUUUGUUUGUUUUGAGAUGAAGUCUCGCUCUUGUCCCCCAGUCUGGAGUACAAUGGCACAAUCUUGGCUCACUGCAAUGUCCGCCUCCCGGGUUCAAGUGAUUCUCCUGGCUUAGCCUCCCGAGUAGCUGGGAUUACAGGUGCGUACCACCAAGCCCAGCUAAUUUUUUGUAUUUUAAGUAGAGACAAGGUUUCACCAUGUUGGCCAGGCUGGUCUCGAACUCCUGACCUCAGGUGAUCCACCUAUCUCGGCCUCCCAAAGUGCUGGGAUUACAGGUGUGAGCCACCGCACCCAGCCUGUUACUGUAGUGUUUUAACAAAUCUAAGUGUACUAGUAUUAGUCUUCAUUCAUCUAAGACAUACAAGUACUGGAAUUUUUUAGGUGGGUUCCUCAGAUGUCAUCACAAUGGUGUCUUCUCUAUAUUCAGUCACUCUUCCGCCCUUCUCUGUAAUGCUCAGGGAUUUCCCAGUUCACUAGCACUUAACGUAGUAUAUCCUUAUUUACUUUGGGGUGUAAAUGACUGCGAUAGAAGUGAUAUCCUUGAGGGAUGAAACACCAUCUUGCAUAUUCAUAUCCCUUUCAAAUAUUUACUGACUUAAUCACACCAUUAGUUUUCUAAGUCCAAGUCUAAAAACAGAAAUGAGUUUAAAUACAGUGAACAUUUCAUUUUCACUAUACCACUAAGCUGAAAGAAAUGAUUUUUAGUAAAUAAAAGUUCAUCACAGCAGAUAAUUAAGUGAAAAGUUCUACAUAUAACUGAAGAUCAAAGGAUUCUCACCUGGGAAGCUUGUCAAGAUGCAUGUUCCCAAGCUCCCAGGCUCCCACUCCCAGAGAUUCUAAUACUGUAAUGGAGCUGAGGACACUACAUUUUUACCAGGCUGACCAGGUGGUUCAGAUUCAGGUGGUUCCUAAACCAACUCUGAGGAAAUAGUGGUUUUAUAUAUGAUGCUACUGUUGAUGUGGCUACUAGGAAUGGUGCUUAGCAGAAAUCCUGCAACAUAUGGAUCUGUUUACACACUAUUCACUGUGUAAUGAGAGUCUGCAACAUAGGCUAAGUGAUAAGAGAUGUCUUGUGGUUGACCACUCUGGAGAUAAGCAGCAAUGAAAUUCCAAUGAAGUUUCAUCAUCUCUCAUCACCAAAACCAUCCUAACCACCUCAAUAAAAUACACCUGACUUCCCCCGCUCCCCCGACCCACCACCCCGAAACCAGCUGCCCUAUGUUCUACCACCAGCUGCAACCAACCAAUGACCUGAUACUAACUAACACCAAUCUAUCAGCUGCUGCCUAGUGCAACAGAGAGGGAAAGUCAAUGAGAAGGAAUUGGGGGCCAGUUCUUGCUUUGCAAGGAGUGGGUUGACUAAUGAGACAGCCACAAAUGUCACUGCCAUCCCAUCUCACCCUCUCACCUGUGCUGCAAGGCUUCAACAAUCAUACCCAGUCUCCACUUAGGAAACUUCUGUUCUUUCUCAAAUGCUAGCAGCUCAGCAAUGUGCUCCCUUAACCCAGGCCAAGCACAUAGUAAAAGAACUCCAAAAAGGGUUACAGCCAGAAGUGAUCUUUCUCCUCCAUACUCCCAAAGCAGAUUAUAGCUCCUCCAUAAAUGUGCUUCGCAUUGUGCCCCACAUUUGGUUUGUUACUUGUGUAUAUAUUAUCCUGUCUUCUAGACUGAGCUUCUGUAGGAAAGGAGAAUUCUUUUUAAUUUUUUGGUAUUACACCCAGCCCAGGACCUUGCUCAGUUGCUUAAAUUGAAUGAGAAAAUGUAUCCAAGUACCCACUGAUGUUGGAAAUUCAACUUGUUCUAAUAUUGAGGACUGCCUAUACCUGGCAUAUGUGUGUCCCAAUUUGAGGAACUGUUUUUCAAGUUGACUUGUAUGGAUUCCUUACAGACACUCAAGCAUCAAUUUGGUUUUCCCUAAAUCCUGCAGAUCAGGAAGGCAGUAUCCAUGUUUGCUUUAAGAAAUUUCAUUAUUAUAAAUAUAUGAAAUAUAUUUAUAUGAAAUAUUACAUAUGAAAAUUUCAUAUAUUAUAAAUAUAAAAAUUCAUAUAUUAAAAAUAUAUGAAAUUUUGUCUGCAGAAUUUUUUUCUCAACACGCAAUCCUGACAUAAUAACCAAUUUUGAGAUGCUUCAAAAAUAACACUGCAGUAGUAGCCACUCCUAAAACAAAAUAUUUCCCCUUUCCUUCAAUAUAUGUAAUCACAUAUGACAUAUAAAAUCUGCUUAUUGGAUAAAUUUAUCUUUAAAAGAUUAUCUAUAUUUAUUAAAAGUUAAAAUACAUAUACUCUUUGACCUGGAAUCAGGUAUAACAAUGUAUUUUACAGAGCUACUAGCACACGUGUGGAAUCAUAUAUGUACAAGGCUACUAAUUGAAGUAUUAGUAUAGUAACAAAAAUUAAAAAUCAACCAUAAAUAGGGAAUAGAUUAAAUAAUGGUACACCUAUGAAUGAAAUACUAACUUCUAAAACAGAAAGUAAAAAGAAAGGGAAAAUAAGGAAAACUGGAUUAAUCCAACAUAUGACAGGAAAGGAGAAAAAAUAAUGCAAAGAAAUGAUAAACACAGUAAAGUGAAUACAAAUUAAAAUUUAUCUACUAAAAGACAGUAAUUCAAAGACUAGAUUUAAAAGGAAAAUAACAGUUUUAUGCUAUUUACAAAAGACAGACUUAAAACCUAACAUAAAAACGCUGAAAGUAAUAUAUACCAGGUAAAUACUAACAAAAAACAAAACAAAACAAAAACUAGUAUUAAUAAUAGAACCUGAUUUUCUAAAAAAUAGAUUAAGAAAACUAGAUUGAAGGAGAAAGUCAUUAUUACUGAGAUAGAGAGGAUCAUUACUUAAAUGAUAAAAAGAAGCAAUUUAUCAGCACGUUUAAAAAUCCCAAACCAGAAUACACAGUGCUAACAAAAUCAUCUUAAAAUAAAAUAAGCAAAUACUGAUUUAGCCAUAAGGAGAAACUGCCAAAUCCACAAUCAUUUUAGGAGAAUGGGUUUAAGAAAGGAAAAAAAAAAAAAAAAAAAGAUUUCUGUAUGCUCUUAAAUCUAAAAAAUAAUGACAUGAAAAAGUUGAAAGGAAUGGAAAAAUAUGUACCAUUAAAAGGAAACCCGACAUACGAAUGUCAUUAUUCGACAAAACAGAUUUUUUUUUUUUUUGAGAUGGAGUCUCACUCUGUCACCCAGGCUGGAGUGCAGUGGCGCAAUCUCUGCUCACAGCAAGCUCCGCCUCCCAGGUUCAUGCCAUUCUCCUGCCUCAGCCUCCCAAGUAGCUGGGACUACAGGCGCCCACCACCACACCAGGCUAAUUUUUGUAUUUUUAGUAGAGAUGGGGUUUCAUCGUGUUAGCCAGGAUGGUCUCGAUCUCCUGACCCGUGAUCUGCCCACCUCGGCCUCCCAAAGUGCUGGGAUUACAAGCGUGAGCCACCGUGCCCAGCCAGACAAAACAGAUUUUAAGACAACUAAGAAGUUAACAAGCUGACCCUACAAUAAGCAUGAAAAUUUUGAAAAAGAAUAGGAAAGGAGAACUCACCAUAAGAGAAAUCGAAACUUGUUAUAAAGCUAUAGUUGUUAAAACGGUGUUACAGUGGUACAUGGACAGAUAAAUGGACCAAUGAAGCAGACCCAGACACUGAAAAGAACCUUUUAUAUGACAGCAUGGCACAAUUAGUAAGACUAGAGAGGAAAUGGGCCAGGCACGGUGGCUCACGCCUGUAAUCCCAGCAUUUUGGGAGGCCGAGGCAGGCGGAUCACCUGAUGUCAGGAGUUCGAGACCAGCCUGGCCAACAUGGUGAAACCCCGUCUCUACUAAAAAUACAAAAAUUAGCUGAUCGUGGUGGCAGGCACCUGUAAUCCCAGCUACUCGGGAGGCUGAGGCAGGAGAAUCGCUUGAACCCGGGAAGCGGAGGCUGCAGUGAGCCGAGAUCAUGCCAUUGCACUCCAGCCUAGGCAACAAGAGUGAAACUCCAUCACAAAAAAAAAAGAAAAAGAGUAGCCAGGAAAUAAAUGAUCCAGAAUAACUGCCUAUCGUUGUGGAGGAGAGGG